GGACUAUCUACGAUGUCGGUUCAUGAGCUGUUAAUUUAUGAAGCAGUAGCGUUUAGAGAGAUGGAGUACACGAGUUAUUUUCGUAGUGGUGAGCAGUGAGUUCCUACAUGGUCAUGGUUGAAGGUGAGGAGGAGAGGUGGUUUCAUGUAGUGUGUCACGGAGGUUUGGAUUUGUAAUGUGGUGGUUUGAUGGAGGCGUCGUUUGGUUGAAAGUCUGGGUGAACUUAGUGGUUCAGAAACGUGAUUGAGAGGAUGAUGAAAUGUUAUUGGAGUGAGGAGUUAUGGAUGGCAUUAGGUUGAGUGUGCUUUGUGAAGGUUAUAUUUUUUAUGGGUGAGAGAUGGAGUCGGAUGAAAAAGCUUGUGAGAAGGUUGAUGGAAGAGAUGAAAUCAAUGUUGUGUGAAUAGGUGAUUUACGGAAUCAUGGUGGUGGCGGUGGUUCGAUGCGGUGGAAGGCAAGGUUGAGUUAGACGGAGGGAGGCGACUGGAUAAAAAUUGGUGGUUGGAUCUAUAGUGGCUAUGUUGAAUGAAGCGAACACGUGAAGGAAAAAAACUGCCUCCUCUGCGUAUUCUCUAUCUCUCACACACUCACUUUUUAAGAGUUUCUUUUCACUUCUUUUGCAUUUUUUGGACUUUUUACUGAGAAAUAGGGAAAUAUGUGUGUGUAUUGGUUGAUGAAUGAUUUUGUUAUGGUGAAGAAGAUGAGUGAUGGUUAUGUGAUGUUCAUGUUAGCCGCACAUUAACAGUAGCAGGGUGGUGGUUAUGUUGUAUUUUAGGAGAUGGUGGUAGUGAAUAGUGUUGUAUGAGUUAUUAAAAUGGAGAUUGUGUAGUUGAUUAAGGGUGAUUGUUUUAUGUGUAUUUAAAUGAAGGAGUUUUGGGUUUGUG
rnacentral:lncRNA from 1 species